GGGGCCGACUGGUUUUGACAGCGGGUCUAAUUGUAUUGUAAGCAUGCCGAGCGCUGGGAUACAGCUCGUAAAUCUCAUAUUUCACACUUUUUAAACGGCGAGAAUAACUACGCCCUAGCUGCAUAACCCGAAUUACAGUACGGUAUGCCUCGGCCCACAAGGUGGGCAAGCAGGAAGUCGCUCGAAGGCCUUGGUUUACGGCGUUCGAUAUAGCGGCUUCGUAAAAGUAAACCUAGCGGUGCUGGUGCUUUGAUGGCAUCGUGAAUGCCGAUACCUAUCGGCACAAGUAAAGAUAAGGAGUGCGUUGGUAGUUUUCGACCGGCAAUCUCUCGAAAACCCAAAUGAAAACUAAGCAUGUAGAAAGCAGUAUAAUUGCGCGUUUGGACGAGGGUUCGAAUCCCUCCGGCUCCACCA
rnacentral:tmRNA from 1 species